rnacentral:lncRNA from 1 species
CCAGCUUGGUGUACCCCUUGGAUCAGAUGUCGUAGCUGGGAAAAUCUCUGACACCUUUCAACUUUAAAUCCAGUUUGAUUCGUUGUCAAUGGACAAUCCUCCACCUCUGAGAAGCUUUCUAUGAUUACUUCAGAUGAAGGACUCAGCAAGAACUAGGCACUCUGCAACCCAGAAGAGAGUUCUCGCCAGAAACCAAUCAUGCUGGCACUUGGAUCUAGGACUUCAAGCUUCCAGAAAUUUGUGGAAUAAGUUUCUGCUGUUUAUAAGCCACCAAGUCUAUGAUAAUGUGUCAGAGGACUGAGCUAAGACAUAAAGUGAGCUAGAGUUAAGAUUUAAGAUCUAUUUGUUACAAUAAAAUUCAAAAUAGUCGUAUAAAUGUUUAAAUGCAACAUCUCAAAAAUCGUAACAUGUUCUUACAUUUAGAGAAUUAGUACAGAAAUAUUAAGUCAACAAAAUUUCUAACAUUAAAUUGAUGUCUACUUGUUAUGUUGAUUUGCAAACAUUUUUUUCCACAUGGAUAUAUUUCCUUUUGUCUACCCAACUAAUUGUUAUUGCAUUACAGGAAAUCUUUUAUUUAUUUUGUAUUUCUCUGUAAACACCUCCCUACCUUGUCUAGUAUAGUGUCAAUUAUUUCAUGCUUUUAUUAAUGUAAUGGCAAAGUCAUUUUAAUGGCCAGAAUAUAAAGAAUUAUAAAUAACACCUCCAUAGAAUUAAGAUUUGAUUGUUGCAAUGGCAAUAUGGAUGACUUUUAGAAAAAUGUGUUGUAUAUGCCAUCAGACAUUAAAAAAAGUUAGCUAAGCUGCAAAUCAAUUUUUACAUGCAAAUAUAACAUAUUAAUAACAGCAGUAGAUGAAAAAAGGAUUGGCUUGAAUCGCUAAGUCAUUUCACACAUUGAUACCAGAGUAAAAUACUUCAAAAUUGUUCUUACUGAACAUUCUUCUUUUCCUCCCACAUACACAGAAGAAGAAAAAUAUCACUAUACCAUUAAUGUCUUUUACAUACCUAUACGCAAUCUGAACUUUCUCAGAGGAACAAUGAACAAAAUAAUUUUUCUAUUUCUUUGGAACAUAUUUACUUAACAUGAAAGAUCUUGUGCCUUUGCAUUGGGCGUUCAUUUCCUCUAUAGCUAAAGGGUAAAUGAUGGAUAGGAGAAUAAAGAGGGACAAAUAUAAGGUCUGCUAAUAUGGUAAUGUCUGUAGGUGGUGUACGUGUUUAUACAUAUUUGACCUGCACUUUAACAAGACAUGAAUUUAUCACUCAAAAACACUACCCUGCUCCCAUCUUCCUCAAAGUGAAAAAGAAAAGAAACAAAGAAUGUUAGAUACAUCUAAUAAAAGGACAAAAUAGGCCUGAUGCCCUCGAAACAAAAAAACUGUUCUCACUUACAAAGGCCUUGAAGUUCAAGCAGUGGCUUCAACAUAUAUGAAAACUUGAUUCAAACCCUUCACAUUUGGUAACAGUAAUGAGGAAGAUAAUCUUCUGCCGAGACUUGUCCACCUAAACUCAGGAAAAGAUGGGUAAAGUGGCACUAUAUAUUACAAUAAAUAUUUGGCAUGCUAUUUUCCUAUCUCCUUUGACUUUUCUAUUGCUUUUGACUGAUUAGUGACCAAUGAAAUGAAUAGACUUAGCAUGAUUGAUGGGAAGCAAUAUGGUGACUCAAGAAAAUCAACUGUUUUAGGAAGGCAUUGCACUUUUUAUUGUGUGUGAGAGAGAAAAGAAAGACAUGAAUUUUGAGUUUUUUCAGUCAUCUCUGCUUACCCUCAAAGGAGAUUUACUGCUAUUACAGAAUAAAGAUAAUCUGUGAUGGUGGAAAAAUAAAAGACUGUCUGCAUAGGUUUUACUUUGGAAAGGGUUUUUGCUCAAAGAGCUUAUCUUGAAGUAGAGAAAGCAGAUUAAAAAAAAAUGAUAUGAA